AGAAUACCGCUGUUUUCUUGUAGUGGCGGUCUAGGCGGAAAAAAUCGGAUAUCCGAUUUUUUAAACCGAUUUGGCAUAAAUCGGGGCAGAAGAGUGACGCGUAGCGCCUAGGCGGCGGCCUAGGCGGCGGCCUAGGCGGCUAGGGAGCCGAUUUUUAGAACAGGGGUAAUAUCAAAUCUCUGACUCCCGUACCCACGUCGUAUUUUUAGUUCAUAAUUAAUGAUGUAGUGAGAGCUGUAUGUAUCAUACCUCUAUAUUUUUUAAUUAACGUGUAAAUCAUACAAGAUUUUUGUUUAGAUGAGUCUAUCUACAUUUAAAUUCAUUAAACCACAUAAGUACGUACUUUGUUUAAUUAUAUAUAUAUAGCUCAGUUUCUAUUCGGACCUCACAUCGACUAGGAUUAGUUAGACCAUCUUUAUCGCUGUUUCUUAAUAGGGUUUUUAAACAUAAAAGAUGCUUCGUCUUCUCCGUCAUGCGGCGAUCGCUGAGAAGAUCAAAAAAUUAAAUAGUUCCGAUCCUAUUGCAUCCAAUCAUCAUAGACCCAUGAGAUCAUCGUCAGCGAGAAAGCUCCUCUCGCAUUCUCUCCGGAGAAACCGCGUUGCUGUUGGAUCUCCAUUUCUGGCUUCAACCUCGCGCGACUCCCAGAAGAUGUGACAUCCAUUCGCGGAGUUAACCGCCAAGACUCCGUCGCGGAGCAGGACAUCCAUUCUCUACAAGUUCUCUUCCGAUUCCGUGCUCCGCGAGCAGUACAGGAACCCUUGGAACGAGAUUCGGACUGGUAAAUUGGUUGAAGAUCGUUUAUUGGAUUGUGAAAUGGUUUAGCGUAGUGAUGAGCUUCUUGUUAUUCUUGAGUUGUGUUUUAACAUCUCUCCAUGUGUUUGAUGGUAGACACUCGGAUUGUUUGUAUUUCAUUUUGCUAAGCAAAGUAAAAGAAACACAAAUUGAAUUCGAAUUUAGAAGGCUACGCUUUGUUUCAUGCUUGAACUGAUUGUAUUCGGAGUUAGGGUUAUGUACUUAUGCUGUGUUUCAUGCUUGAACUGAUAAAUGAGUGGUAGAAAUUGCACAUAGUUGAAAUGUGAAAGAAAGAAAAAACAGUUGAAGAAAGUUACAAGAUUUGAUUUUCGUUCAAUUGGAACCAAGAUAAUGUUUAGUUAGCCUUUGUUAAGAGGUGUGUAGGAUUACUGGAAGUUUUUGUAUUACGGCUUGUCUCAAUCUUUUAUGCUGCUGGGAUGUGGUUGCUGUGUCUGACAGGAAAUGAUCAGUUCCUGGAGCAAGCCAUUUCUUGAGUCCCAGUUCCUCAUUCUGAGACAGUUGACAAGUGCGCACAUGUAACAUUAUAAAGUUUACAAGUGUUCAUUGUAGUGAAUCUGAUAAGUUAGUUUCCGUAGAUUUAUGAAGGAGGUGUAUGGAAGAUUAAGUGCAUGUCUUUGAUGUUGGUACUAUAUAUGCAUAUGUAUUGUGCUUUACUGAACGACUCUUUACAGUGCAUUUGCAUUUGAAGCUUAUUGAAAAGUUCUUCACUUUAUGAUUAA